rnacentral:lncRNA from 1 species
UGUAAUCUUCGGAAAGCUGUGACUGCGACCUGGAGUUGCACAUGUGUUCUGGUGAAUGGAGUGAGAUGAGGACUGGGUUUGAGAAGAUUUUGUUGGCUCCACAUGGUUUUGCAAAUCAACCUGCUGCUCCAGUGAUGACAUGCUGCUGAGGGAAGGUUUGGUGGUUCCUGGGAAGUUGAAAGGAUCUGGGCAAGCUUUUUAUUGCUGACUGUGUGCAACUGCCGCAAGGGGUCAAAAGUGCUUGGUUUGCACAACAUCUCCCCGGCAUUCUUACACGUGUGGUUAUGGAAUCAGGGUGCAGGGAAGGGUCAUGGAGCAGAGGGAAUUGCAUGUGCUCGAUCUUUUUCACAUUGGAGCUGCUUUCUGAAACCCGGCACGGGGAAGGUGAGGGUGCUGGAUAGUUUGGGGGGGCCACAGAGUCCUGUGGGUGUUAAAUCUCGGUCCCCCUCUGGGGACUUGUCCUUGCAGGGUGCUCAUCCAGGCCUUAAAAGUUGGCAGCAUCCCCCAGGAACUACCCUGUGAACAAAUCCAGGCUUUCGGAAGCACGUGAUUCUGCAGAAAUGCCACAUUCUCUUCCACAUGGGCUGUGGGCUCUGAGUCCCCCUUUGCUUCCUCGGCCUAUGUACCUGCUGAAGAAGACAGUUGUGUCGUGUACAUGCAACCUAAGGAGGUAACCUUUUACCCAGCCUGAGACUUCAGAGGGUAUUCAUAUUGGGGACCAGCAGCCCGUGAUGUUUGUCCCCCAGAGAGGGGGAGAGAGCUGCUGCCUGCAGAGUGGCUGCUCCUGCUUUGCACGGCCCCUGGCUUCUGCAUCCCUCCAUCCUCCAGCUGGGCACAGAGGUUGCCAAAAGGGCCAGUAGGAGGAGAAGGCUUCAUGGAGGACGGGGGCAAGAGCGGGCCGACCAUGCUGGCUUCCUCGCCUUGUGUCUGGCUGACUGCACAGGCCUGAGGAGGCUGUGUGUAAGUUGGCAAAUGACAGGAAGAGCAUGUGCUUCUAAUCACCCACCCAUCUUAAUAACGUCGAACAGAUACAGUGCAGAAACUAUUGCACAACCACCAGCAUUUCAUUACAUCAGAAUCCUUGCCAAUUUGAAAGAGGUCCUUGAAUCCAGGGAGAGUUACAUCUUUACGUUUUUGAUCACGAUCCUCUUGGAAGAUACUUAUUAGGGCCAUUUGUUGAUGACAAUAUUAAGAAUUAGCAAAUAUCUUCUUAAAUAUAACAAAAAUUGAAUUGUUUCAUUAGAGAACUAUAAAGUCUGUUAUUUAAGAGGAAACUGUUGUGCUGUUCAAAAGCAGGAAAGAAUUGUUGAAGGACUCUUCCUGGUCUCCUUUCUAGAACUGAGGCAACUCAGCUAUUGUAGUCAAAAGAAUUUUUAAAAAAUUAGUAAAGAGAAAAGCAGAAUCUUCGUACA